UACGUAGGGGGCCUAGCGUUGUCCGGAUUUAUUGGGCGUAAAGAGCUCGUAGGCGGUUUUGGUUAGUCAGGUGUGAAAUCUCCACGCUCAACGUGGAGGGGCCACCUGAUACUGCCAUGACUUGAGUCCGGUAGGGGAGUGUGGAAUUCCCGGUGUAGCGGUGAAAUGCGCAGAUAUCGGGAGGAACACCCGUAGCGAAGGCGGCACUCUGGGCCGUGACUGACGCUGAGGAGCGAAAGCGUGGGGAGCAAACAGG
rnacentral:rRNA from 1 species